GACGAACGCUGGCGGCGUGCUUAACACAUGCAAGUCGAACGGAGAAUAGAAGGAAGCUUGCGAAUUCUAUUCUUAGUGGCGGACGGGUGAGUAACGCGUGGGUAACCAACCCAUAACACCGGGACAACCCUGGGAAACUGGGGCUAAUACCGGAUACGUUCUUCUAAGGGCAUCCUAAGAAGAAGAAAGGUGGCCUCUGAAAAUGCUGCCGAUUAUGGACGGACCCGCGUCUGAUUAGCUAGUUGGUAGGGUAACGGCCUACCAAGGCGACGAUCAGUAGCCGGCCUGAGAGGGUGGUCGGCCACACUGGGACUGAGACACGGCCCAGACUCCUACGGGUGGCAG
rnacentral:rRNA from 1 species